ACCACAAACACACACCAGUGAAGGCAGAAGAGUUCAGAAUUUGAAUGUACUGAAGAAUCCUGGUGUUUCCAGCAUCAAGUUCAAGCCAUCCGUGAUCAACCCAGAGAUCA